ACAUAAAGCUGAGUGACUCAGUCAUAUAGCCUCUGCACCUCCAUAAAGCUGAGUGACUCAGUCAUAUAGCCUCAGCAUCUACAUAAAGCUGAGUGACUCAGUCGUAUAGCCUCACCUACAUAAAGCUGAGUGACUCAGUCAUAUAGCCUUAGCACCUACAUAAAGCUGAGUGACUCAGUCAUAUAGCCUCUGCACCUACAUAAAGCUGAGUGACUCAGUCAUAUAGCCUCAGCAUCUACAUAAAGCUGAGUGACUCAGUCAUAUUGCCUCGGCACCUACAUAAAGCUGAGUGACUCAGUCAUAUAGCCUCUGCACCUACAUAAAGCUAAGUGACUCAGUCAUAUAGCCUCAGCACCUACAUAAAGCUGAGUGACUCAGUCAUAUUGCCUCGGCACAAACAUAAAGCUGAGUGACUCAGUCAUAUAGCCUUAGCACCGACAUAAAGCUGAGUGACUCAGUCAUAUAGCCUCUGCACCUACAUAAAGCUGAGUGACUCAGUCAUAUAGCCUCAGCAUCUACAUAAAGCUGAGUGACUCAGUCAUAUUGCCUCGGCACCUACUUAAAGCUGAGUGACUCAGUCAUAUUCUCAGGCACCUACAUUAAGCUGAGUGACUCAGUCGUAUAGCCUCACCUACAUAAAGCUGAGUGACUCAGUCGUAUAGCCUCGGCAUCUACAUAAAGCUGAGUGACUCAGUCAUAUAGCCUCUGCACCUACAUAAAGCUGAGUGACUCAGUCAUAUAGCCUCAGCAUCUACAUAAAGCUGAGUGACUCAGUCAUAUAGCCUCAGCAUCUACAUAAAGCUGAGUGACUCAGUCAUAUUGCCUCGGCACCUACAUAAAGCUGAGUGACUCAGUCAUAUAUCCUCUGCACCUACAUAAAGCUGAGUGACUCAGUCAUAUAGCCUCUGCACCUACAUAAAGCUAAGUGACUCAGUCAUAUAGCCUUAGCACCGACAUAAAGCUGAGUGACUCAGUCAUAUAGCCUCUGCACCUACAUAAAGCUGAGUGACUCAGUCAUAUAGCCUCAGCAUCUACAUAAAGCUGAGUGACUCAGUCAUAUUGCCUCGGCACCUACAUAAAGCUGAGUGACUCAGUCAUAUAGCCUUAGCACCUACAUAAAGCUGAGUGACUCAGUCAUAUAGCCUC
rnacentral:lncRNA from 13 species